rnacentral:rRNA from 1 species
AGUAACGGCGAGUGAAGCGGCAACAGCUCAAAUUUGAAAUCUGGCUCUUUCAGAGUCCGAGUUGUAAUUUGCAGAGGGCGCUUUGGCUUUGGCAGCGGUCCAAGUUCCUUGGAACAGGACGUCACAGAGGGUGAGAAUCCCGUACGUGGUCGCUAGCUAUUGCCGUGUAAAGCCCCUUCGACGAGUCGAGUUGUUUGGGAAUGCAGCUCUAAAUGGGAGGUAAAUUUCUUCUAAAGCUAAAUAUUGGCCAGAGACCGAUAGCGCACAAGUAGAGUGAUCGAAAGAUGAAAAGCACUUUGGAAAGAGAGUCAAACAGCACGUGAAAUUGUUGAAAGGGAAGCGCUUGCAGCCAGACUUGCUUGCAGUUGCUCAUCCGGGCUUUUGCCCGGUGCACUCUUCUGUAGGCAGGCCAGCAUCAGUUUGGGCGGUGGGAUAAAGGUCUCUGUCACGUACCUCUCUUCGGGGAGGCCUUAUAGGGGAGACGACAUACCACCAGCCUGGACUGAGGUCCGCGCAUCUGCUAGGAUGCUGGCGUAAUGGCUGUAAGCGGCCCGUCUUGAAACACGGACCAAGGAGUCUAACAUCUAUGCGAGUGUUUGGGUGUCAAGCCCGAGCGCGUAAUGAAAGUGAACGGAGGUGGGAACCCGCAAGGGCGCACCAUCGACCGAUCCUGAAGUUUACGGAAGGAUUUGAGUAAGAGCAUGGCUGUUGGGACCCGAAAGAUGGUGAACUAUGCUUGAAUAGGGUGAAGCCAGAGGAAACUCUGGUGGAGGCUCGCAGCGGUUCUGACGUGCAAAUCGAUCGUCAAA